rnacentral:lncRNA from 1 species
UGCGUCCGUCGUCCGUCGUCGUUAACUUUUACAAAAAUCUUCUCCUCUGAAACUACUGGGCCAAAUUGAACCAAACUUGGCCACAAUCAUCAUUGGGGUAUCUAGUUUAAAAAAUGUGUGGCGUGACCCGGUCAACCAACCAAGAUGGCCGCCACGGCUAAAAAUAGAACAUAGGGGUAAAAUGCAGUUUUUGGCUUAUAACUCAAAAACCAAAGCAUUUAGAGGAAAUCUGACAGGGGUAAAU